UACAGAGGGUGCAAGCGUUAAUCGGAAUUACUGGGCGUAAAGCGCGCGUAGGUGGUUUGUUAAGUCGGGUGUGAAAUCCCUGGGCUCAACCGAGGAAGUGCAUUCGAAACUGAUAGACUAGAAGAUGGUAGAGGAAGGUGGAAUUCCAGGUGUAGAGGUGAAAUUCGUAGAUAUCUGGAGGAAUACCGGUGGCGAAGGCGGCCUUCUGGGCCAUUCUUGACACUGAGACGCGAAAGCGUGGGUAGCAAACAGGAUUAGAAACCCCUAGUAGU
rnacentral:rRNA from 1 species